GACGAACGCUGGCGGCGUGCCUAAUACAUGCAAGUCGAACGGAAAGGCCCUGCUCUUGUGGGGUGCUCGAGUGGCGAACGGGUGAGUAACACGUGAGUAACCCGCCCUUGACUUUGGGAUAACUUCUGGAAACUGGGGCUAAUAUCGGAUAGGAGCUCCUGCUGCAUGGUGGGGGUUGGAAAGUUUCGGCGGUUGGGGAUGGACUCGCGGCUUAUCCGCUUGUUGGUGGGGUAGUGGCUUACCAAGGUUUUGACGGGUAGCCGGCCUGAGAGGGUUACCGGCCACAUUGGGACUGAGGUACGGCCCAGACUCCUACGGGAGGCAGCAGUGGAGAAUAUGACGCAAUAGGCGCAAGCCUGAUGCAGCAGCGCCGCGUGCGGAAUAACGGCCUUCGGGUUAUGAACCACUUUCGCCUGUGACGAGGCGUGAGUGACGGUAAUGGGUAAAGAAGCACCGGCUAACUACGUG
rnacentral:rRNA from 1 species